GUAAUAUAGAACGUUUCGUGUUGCUACUAUUUUUAAAACCGCGCCUGCCUUUCUUUCACUCUCGUAAAAGAGAUUUCUGUGCAAAAUCGUUGGCGUCGUUUGUUGCGUUGAUGAAAGUCAUGUGUGGUGCGAUCCGGCGUGUUUUUGUGGUUUUCGCGGUGUUUCGGCGAGCCUGAGGCAGCAAGUGAAUCGGCCAGUAAGGGAAUACGCGCCCACCAGUGACGUGUUUAUAUACAUAUUGCGAUAAACCUUUGUGUUUUUUAGUGUCGUAUAGCGACUUUGGAGAGUCUAUUUUGGUUUCUUUACAAACAUUUUUACUGCCACGUAGCAGUGUGAAGUGUGCUAUUUUUAUAACCGUUCGCUUCGCUGUGUGUGAGCAGCAGGGCUUCGUUGCUGGAAAACGGCGGUCAGAGUGGUCGUUGUCUGCCAUUUUCACUUUAUCGGUGUAUCGUUUUAGUGGAUACAGGUCUCGAUUGUUACUAAUCGAAUUAGCUUUGCUUUAUUUUUGCCUAAAACAAGUGAACGUGCGCGUUUUUGGGAUUACCUACUUUUCCAUUGGAGUGACUUUAAUUAAGACAUCAGAAAACAUUGAAUGGACUACGGCGAACUUCGGAUAACUUCCCAAGGAAUUAUUAUAUAAAGGUACGGAACUUCUCUUGCAGUUGCAGUAGAAAACAAUCACGUGAGUAACCCUUUGCAUUUCAUGUAGAGUGUAGACCAUGC